GUCUACAGCUAUGCUACCCUGAAUACACCUGAUCCUGUCUGAUCUCGGAAGCUAAGUAGGGUCGGGCCUGGUUAGUACUUGGAUGGGAGACCACCUAGGAAGAUCAGGCGCUGUAGGAG
rnacentral:rRNA from 1 species